rnacentral:rRNA from 1 species
GACGAACGCUGGCGGCGUGCUUAACACAUGCAAGUCGAGCGGUAAGGCCCUUUCGGGGUACGACGAGCGGCGAACGGUGAGUAACACGUGGGUGACCUGCCCUCAGCUCUGGGAUAAGCCUGGGAAACCGGGUCUAAUACUGGAUAUGACUCCAUGACGCACGUUGUGGGGUGGAAAGCCUUGUGCGGCUGAGGAUGGGCCCGCGGCCUAUCAGCUUGUUGGUGGGGUGANGGCCUACCAAGGCGACGACGGGUAGCCGGCCUGAGAGGGCGACCGGCCACACUGGGACUGAGACACGGCCCAGACUCCUACGGGAGGCAGCAGUGGGGAAUCUUGCGCAAUGGGCGAAAGCCUGACGCAGCGACG